AAAGACAACCAUCUUUGGACUCUCAGCCUAAAAAACCUCAGGUACAAUUCCCAAAUAUUUACCGUACGUCUUCACUUUACCGGCCACGUGCUGCUUUCACACAAUAUGGAACCAGUCCGGUAGGAAUUUUCAAGAAUCAUUUAUCACGCGAGAAAUUAAAUACGUAACUGUUGGUGACAUUGCAAUUCAAAUGCAAGUGCUUUCCUGUCUGUGCGUAAGCAAGAAAAAUACGAAAUAAGAAAAUUCGAAGUGCGUCAGUAUAGUUUGAAUUUAAGAAGAACAUUGUUUUGGCAUCAGAAAGGAUAUCGUGUGCCGAGGUCACCGUGCUGGGACAGAAGUGGGAAUGGUGGCAACUUUAAUGAUAUAUGGUUCAGCUGAGGCGUAAGCAGACGCUGUAACCUGCUGGCGACUGUAAACAAAGCGAACAGAAAGGCUGACCACGGCCUCAGGUGUACGUGCGCCAGGCUCGAAAAGAGAAGUGCGGGAAUUUUCCCGUCGGUUCCCCGAAGGCCGCGUGUGGGAGGUCAGGCGUUGGUCCAGGGUCGCAGUGGGAAGUCCGCGCGGGCCACAGGCUGCCUUCCGCCCCGAGCCGCUUCCUCAACAGCUGAAAGUCCGUGUUCCGUCCAGCGUCUGUGUGGAAUGUGACUGGAGUACAAUGGCCUUACGUGAUGCGAAGAGCUGGAUUCUUAGCUGCUUUCCAUCGAAGUAAAGUUUCUCCCAGUCCAGGCCGUAAAUCAUUACGAGAUGCCUCGCCCCCUCUCCGAGGGGCUUCUCUCCCUUCAAGUCCGCCUGACUGGCAUUUUCUGUCCUCAUUUUCUAGCCGAUCGUCCUUUAGAUUCAUGUAGAAGUCAUUUUGCACGUUAUCAGUUUUCGUACACGAGCCACGACGUUGCAUGUGAUAAGGGCACUAGACUGUACCUCUUCUGCCCUCGCAAAUCCUUAUUUCCUUGCCAGUCAUGCGCGUGAAAUGAAAUUCGGGCACAAGGUCUCCAUAGUGCGAGUCCUUGUAAAAAUAUUAUUCGACACAUGCCCCGUGCCGUUUAGCUAUCGAGAGGCACAAAGUAUUAAUGAGCGUGGCGUUCUUUAGAAUCGAUCGUUGCCACCCUGAGGCCUUGCCGCGAGAUCUUCGGUGGUCCUCGGAGGGACUGCGUAAUCACACGAAGAAAUCCAUUGAGAGUUCCGUCGUGCUGAAGCCUCACGGCUUGAGGCAGCCCCGGGCGAAAGGUUUACAGGAAAUCUCGAGAUCGUUGAGCAGUCACCCUGACAGCAAUCAGGGGCCCAGAGUUGGCCGUUGUGAGGAUCUCUGUUCCAGAAUAAGUGGAGACUGGGCCUUGUCUUGGUCGGUUUUAUGGAAGGCCGAGAGUAAGCACAGCUUCAGACAAAUAAUGUUGACAGUCUACGGAUAAAGUCGUCAAUGUCAGUUCGUGGCGUGAAAUAUCGGCAGUGGUUUUUCAGGACCGAUUGCAUUUCACAGUUGAACGAGUGGCCUAUCAGAGUAGCCCCGAGCACAAGGUAAAGACUGACGUCAUUGUUCACAGUCCUUAAGACGCUGAUAGUCUCUCAGCUAGUCAAUAAAUUUCCUCACGCGCUACUCCUUUAAGACCAUUUUAAUAUCAUCCUCCCGUGCGUGCUACACGCUUCGCCCAUUUCGUCCUGUUAAUGUCAUGGAGCUCCAUCGUCUGCGAUAUUCUCCCAAGCACCACCGUUUUCUUGGACGUGGUUAAACCCCUUAAAUACGAGACCGGAAGACAAGGGCAUUCUGUCAAAGCAGCGCCUUCUCGACUUAGAGUUUGCGUGUUGCAUCCCGAAGAGGGCUUGCUGGAAACCCUGACCACCGUCACACUUUCUCCCGCUCAUGUAACCGACUGUCACGUGGAUUACGCUGUUUUAAUGUUUUCCGCGUCAGCCGACCGCCCUCUCGUUCCGGCACGCACUUGGCUCUGGAUUUGGGCUGCAGACACGAGACUGCCCCUCUGGUGGAAAUGUAAUUUACCUUAGAUUUGCUUUCAAAUAUCACUUCAGUUAAACUGAUUAAUUAAAUUAGUUAAUUUCUUUCAAGUGUUCUGCAAGCUUCUGUGCCUCAGGGGCAGACGAAAACUGACGUCCAUUUGCAGAGAAUGAAAGUUUAAUGGCUUCUGUUGUCAAGUCUCUCUCUCUCUCUCUCUCUCUUUUGUGCAAACGAAGGGAUACUUGUCCAUGUUCUGGGAUCACUCCCCGCUCGACGUGUUCGCCUUCUUUUGUCAUAAAUUAGGUAAAAGUUUUAUUGCGUGUUAUUUGUUACAAGGAAAGAAUAUGACGUUCCAGGAAUUAAAACGAGAAGCUGAGAAUAGGGAAAACUGGAGAGCUCUUUUUGGGCAGAGCAAUGGACCUGUCGUAAUACAGAACACUGAAUAAUAAUAAUAAUUUGUUGCUGCAUUUUCGAAACAUUUUGGUUCGCAGAUGUCAGUAAAACCUAACGCAUUGAAGUCUUCGUGAAAAUACUGAGAAUCUAGAGGAGUGACACUUUUCAUAACAUUUUUCUUU